GACGAACGCUGGCGGCGUGCUUAACACAUGCAAGUCGAACGGAAAGGCCCUGCUUUUGUGGGGUGCUCGAUUGGCGAACGGGUGAGUAACACGUGAGUAACCUGCCCUUGACUUUGGGAUAACUUCAGGAAACUGGGGCUAAUACCGGAUAGGAGCUCCUGCUGCAUGGUGGUGGUUGGAAAGUUUCGGCGGUUGGGGAUGGACUCGCGGCUUAUCAGCUUGUUGGUGGGGUAGUGGCUUACCAAGGCUUUGACGGGUAGCCGGCCUGAGAGGGUGACCGGCGACAUUGGGACUGAGAUACGGCCCAGACUCCUACGGGAGGCAGCAGUGGGGAAUAUUGCACAAUGGGCGGAAGCCUGAUGCAGCAACGCCGCGUGCGGGAUGACGGCCUUCGGGUUGUAAACCGCUUUCGCCUGUGACGAAGCGUGAGUGACGGUAAUGGGUAAAGAAGCACCGGCUAACUACGUG
rnacentral:rRNA from 1 species